UAGGGAAUCUUCGGCAAUGGACGAAAGUCUGACCGAGCAACGCCGCGUGAGUGAAGAAGGUUUUCGGAUCGUAAAACUCUGUUGUUAGAGAAGAACAAGGACGUUAGUAACUGAACGUCCCCUGACGGUAUCUAACCAGAAAGCCACGGCUAACUACGUGCCAGCAGCCUCGGUAAUACGUAGGUGGCAAGCGUUGUCCGGAUUUAUUGGGCGUAAAGCGAGCGCAGGCGGUUUCUUAAGUCUGAUGUGAAAGCCCCCGGCUCAACCGGGGAGGGUCAUUGGAAACAGGGAGACUUGAGUGCAGAAGAGGAGAGUGGAAAUCCAUGGGUAUCGGUGAAAUGGGUAGAUAUAUGGAGGAACACGGGUAGCGAAGGAGGCUCUGUGGUCUGUAACUGACGCUGAGGCUCGAAAGGGUGGGGAGCAAACAGG
rnacentral:rRNA from 1 species